UAUUAGAACCUCCUCGUACUGAUAUCAGCGGGAGGUUAGCAUAUAGAGUUCCCUUUAGAACAGUAACAGUUUGAAAUCAUGCAUUAUAUUUAUACUACAUAACUUUUACAGUUAAAAGGGUUCUCAGAGUAUGACAUUUAUAUAGCUAUCUUCACAUCAUUAGAGGAUCUAUGCAUAUUGUCAUUAAUUAACCAUAGAAUCUAUAUGUAUCUUUAUAUCACC